GCUCCUGUGGUGUAAGGCGAACACCGCUGCCCGGAAAGCAGAAGAUGCGGGUUCGAGUCCUGCCUUGCGCA
rnacentral:tRNA from 1 species